AAUAGAUACCCCGGUAGUCCACGCCCUAAACGAUGCGAACUGGAUGUUGGGUGCAACUAGGCACUCAGUAUCGAAGCUAACGCGUUAAGUUCGCCGCCUGGGGAGUACGGUCGCAAGACUGAAACUCAAAGGAAUUGACGGGGGGCCCGCACAAGCGGUGGAGUAUGUGGUUUAAUUCGAUGCAACGCGAAGAACCUUACCUGGCCUUGACAUGCACGGAACUUUCCAGAGAUGGAUUGGUGCCUUCGGGAACCGUGACACAGGUGCUGCAUGGCUGUCGUCAGCUCGUGUCGUGAGAUGUUGGGUUAAGUCCCGCAACGAGCGCAACCCUUGUCCUUAGUUGCCAGCACGUAAUGGUGGGAACUCUAAGGAGACCGCCGGUGACAAACCGGAGGAAGGUGGGGAUGGACGUCAAGUCAUCAUGGCCCUUACGGCCAGGGCUACACACGUACUACAAUGGGAAGGACAGAGGGCUGCAAUCCCGGCGGAGGGGGAGCCGAAUCCCAGAAACCUUCUCUCAGUCCGGAUCGGAGUCUGCAACUCGACCG
rnacentral:rRNA from 1 species